CCCUUAGAUGUCCUGGGCCGCGCGCGCGCUACACUGAGUGUCUGAGAUACGAGUCUGCCUGGUCCGGCAAGGUCUAGGUAAUCGCUAAAAGACACAUCAUGCUUGGGAUAGAUUAUUGCAAAUAUUAAUCUUGAACGAGGAAUUCCUAGUAAGCGCAAGUCAACAGCUUGCGUUUAUUACGUCCCUGCCCUUUGUACACACCGCCCGUCGCUACUACUGAUUGGAUGUUUAAGCGAGGUUCUCGAACUGCUAGCGACUUAGCUUCGGUGAGGUCGCAGUGUGGGAAGUGAACCUAGCUUUGGUGUCUAGAGGAAGUAAAAGUCGUAACA
rnacentral:rRNA from 1 species